UACGUAGGUGACAAGCGUUGUCCGGGAUUUACUGGGCGUAAAGAGCGCGCAGGCGGUCGAUCAAGUCGAGUGUGAAAGCCCCCGACUCAACUGGGGAGGGUCAUUCGAUACUGAUCGACUCGAAGGCAGGAGAGGGUAGUGGAAUUCCCGGUGUAGUGGUGAAAUGCGUAGAUAUCGGGAGGAACACCAGUGGCGAAGGCGACUACCUGGCCUGUUCUUGACGCUGAGGCGCGAAAGCUAGGGGAGCAAACGGGG
rnacentral:rRNA from 1 species